rfam:Glossina brevipalpis unplaced genomic scaffold Scaffold45, whole genome shotgun sequence.
ACUAAGGUCCCGCCAAACGAUGCGCAAUAAUUGCAACCAGCCUCCGCGAAGUAAUACCUAACAGUGGUCCCGCGGAGCAGAGUGGUAGAUGAGGUGUGUGUGUGGGGGGUAGGUUUAGUGUGUAGGCACCAUGGAUGGUGAACCGUGCAUGCUACUGGCACGGGCCGAUAGUAUCUAUGAAGAUUCCCACCUCCAAC